UUCCCUAAAAAAAAUACAUUUGUUAAUUCUUUCCCAUAAACUAUAGAAAUAAACUAACACCCUGAGAUUUUUUAUUCUAUUUUCACAGCAAACUGGAUAGUCUGCACGUAGAUAAGGUUUCAACUGCUUCGUGGAAUUGUUGGUUCAUUUCUGCUGGAUUUCUUACAUUUAUGUUGGAUCAUCUUCUACAGUAUAGGUUGUGAACAGCUUGCCAAACAAGGCACUUCAGAAGCACAUUACCCAUGUUUGCUGUCUUGAACUGCACAAUUGUUUUCACAGAGAUGUCCUUUCCCCAUCAAAAAUAGGACAAAGGAGCACUCAGAUGAACUCAAACAAUUGAUCUGAUAAUCUGCAGUACUUCAACUUUAUUGACUUUGUGAACUAGGCAAGACAUUUCUAGUGUCCCAAAUUAACACUAUUAUAUGGAAAAUAUAUGAUCCCUAUUCAAUCACACAACUGUUUUCCUUCUACAAAAUGUUGUUUUAAAGAAAAAAAAUUGUAACAAAUGAUGUAUUUUAUGUCACUUUCAACAAACAGAAAUAUUUGUUCCCAGACAAUCCAGAAAGCAGUACUUUUAGUGAAGUGAAAACAAUACUGAAAUUGGGAAUGUUAGCAUGCUAAAAAGGUUUCUGUGCUCCAAAAUUAAAAAUGUAAAUGCCAUGUUAAAUGAAGAUAAGCUUGAAACAGUGUAGCCUUUAUAUUGUAAUUAUACUUGUGUAAACGUCUUAUAAAAUGCCAUAACAUUUGUUCAGAAAUAUCCAUGUUUCAUAAACACAGUGAAUGUUUAA